UAUAAGAAGUGUGCUGCGAAGUGCUAGCCACUAGUUCUUUAUCAGCUAAUCUCCAAGAUGUCUCGGGUUGUGAUCUUCGUCUGCUUACUGAUGCUGGCGUCAGCGGUGGUGAGCCUCGACCUCCCCGGAGGCAUCAAGCCGCCCAGCGAUCUGCCCAAAGUGCCGGACGCGCCCAAACUGCCCGACGUCCCUAAACUGCCCGACGCCAAAGGACUCCAAGACCUUGGAGGGUAUUAACUAACAACUGUAUCACGUUCUGGAAAUAUGAAGAUGAAACCGACCAAAGCUUGAUUAAUAUUAUUUAUGUAGUUGAAGCAAAUAAAUGGAGCUCCAAA